GCUAAGGGUUCAGACCCUGUGACAAUGUACAGUGCAAUAUAUCAGCCAUCAAGCUUCAGCAGACUUCGUUCAGAGGGUGGGUGCUAUUUUUAAGUUGUGCCUCCUGUAGGUAAUUGCUGAGUUAGAGAACAUUUUACUCUGAGCAUCUGUGGGAUUGCUGCUUGUGAUGGUUUAUAUAUGCUAGGCCCAGGGGGUGGCACUAUUAGAAGGUGUGACCCUGUUAGAGUAGGUGUAGCCUUGUUGGAGUUGUGUGUCACUGUGGGUGUGGGCUUUGAGACCUUCAUCCUAGCUGCCGGGAAGCCAGUACUCUGCUAUCAGCCUUCAAAUGAAGAUGUAGAGCUCUCAGCUCUGCCUGCCAUGCCUGCCUAGAUGCUGUCAUGCGCCCACCUUGAUGGUAAUGGACUGAACUUCUGAACCUAGAUGUAAAAUUAUUAUAAACUUUGAAGGACUCAUCCAACAUUGAUUGCUCUUGAAAACUCUCUAACCAAAAAUGUGGUAUGUACAACCAUUCACGGCUUGCCCAGAAAAUAGCACCACAGUCAACAAAGGUACUGAAGCGAGAUUACAGCAUAGGCAUCCUUUUCUCUCCUACAUCAGCUCCAGGUGGAAGUAUUUGCAAAGCCCUGACGUGCCUUCACGAGGUUGGCCUGAAUGUUUGACAGAAUGGCAGGGACAAGGCUGGCUGGUUUCCAGACAAGGAAGCUGCUGUGUGUCACCCAAGGACGCUGCUGUGUGUCACUCAGUGCCACCUUCUCAUUUGAGAGCAGAUGAGGGGGAGUCAGGGAGGUAAGUGGCUGUCACCAGGACACGAUGCGAGCAGAACUCAGCUUAUUCAGCCUCCAUGCCAGGGACCUUUGCUGCUCUCUUUAGGUCUGAUGGGGCCUGCUUUGGGUGUGCUGAUCCCAGACUCCCUUCCAUGCUCUGCAGCUAUAGGAAAGCAAAGUUACUCUUAAUCCACAAGGCACAUCUCGGUGUAUCCUUCACCAGCAGAAGCUGGAGCUGGUGAUGAACAGCCACUUACUAACCCAAUAAAGAAAACUCCUGCUAUGUGGAUAAUGCCAGUCUUGAACUUGUGGCAAUUCAUUUCCCUCUGCCUCUCAAGAAAUGUAGUUAUAAACACGGGCCACAAUGCUCAGCUUAUAUCUCUGAUACGGUAAUAUAUUCAGAAACUUCUGAUUGUCUUUUGUUAGCUUACAUAGGUGAUUCAAAAAUUGUACAAGAAUAGACGUAUUACUCCAAUUUGGCAGCACCAAGCAAUCUGCAGCCAUGAAGGAUAGUGAAAG
rnacentral:lncRNA from 1 species